rnacentral:rRNA from 1 species
AUGAAACCAAACAAGAGGCUCAAAACUAUAUUCUAUUUGUUACAACAUUUUAUAAUGUCUAAUAUAUUCGUCAACUUAUGCAACUUUAGUUUUAUGUUUCAAAAUAUUGCAGAAACUCCAGAUGAUUAUGAGCACGCACGCACACUUUGCCGCUGGUUGGUGUGGAUUUGUGAUGCAGGAGCCUCGUCUUCACAGAGGCAGCAGGUGGGAGAAAGAUUGAUAAAGUGGUGGUGUCCGGUGGCUGGGAGGAUCACACGGAAAGGACGUUAUUUUCUGUACUGUUUACUCAUACAGAAGGGACUUUGCUGA